UGCCAAGGACCUGGAAGCAGGUGCCCAGA
rnacentral:piRNA from 1 species